GCCAAACCGUUUUAUUAAAUAAAACAAUUAAAAAACCACAGGAGUUGCGCACUACAGUCUACACAUCAACGCUUGCGCACACAGAGAGAGGGGAAGGACGGGAGCGAAACACGGAGGUUAUUGUAAGUAUAGUUUCACAGAUUUCAACUUGCUUCCAUGGAUUAUCGCGAGGAUCGAGCCUGACAUGUUCGGAAAAGGGUAUUGUAGUCUGUAGAGGUGGACUCAUCAUGUGUGGCACGUUGAACAUAACAUCUGGAGGUAUUCAUUUGCUCUUUGAGUCCACGGUCUUGAUCCAUGCCGAAGCUACUUCCUUUUCUGGCAAUUACUAGACUUAAUUCAUCGUUGAAUACAAGGAUAUGAUACUGUAUGUGGCAGCUGGUGGGAGGUGUUGGUGGCACUUCGCGAGGCGCAACAACCAGAAGAAGCUGCCAUGUUCAUAGUUGCUUGCCAUGAAUUCCAAAAGGCAUCGGCAUCCGGUUCUGAGUCCAACGACCAUUAGGUCCAGCUGCUAAGGACCUGUGCGGCUGUGCCUCCUUUGCCAAGGUUGAACUCAGAUAAUGAAGAUGUUAUCACUGCCGGUAAAUAUUAUGACUCUUGAAUGGUAACAGAUUAUCAGGCUAACCUGAGACUUAACAACUGCAGCACUUGCACCAGGGGAGCUGUACUGGCCAAAUGUGACAGUCUCCUGAUUAGCAUCGUGAAGAAGAGGCAAGGGCAACGUUUUUACUGACUGAUUUUCUAUUUCAGACAAGAGGUUCUGCAACUAGCGUUCCUCAUUUGAAUGGAAGUUAGCCUGUGACGUUGACAUGAGUCCAUUAUUAACUGCAUCUUGGAUCCCUGAAGAAUUUCCAUACAAUUGGUGUCCAGCAUUAGCAUUUAAACUUCUGAUUUGCGUGUAUUUCAGAGUGGAAUGCUUGUGCAGGAUCCAUCUAUAGGCAAUGAUGUGGAUGUUUUAUUUGAUCAAGCUAGAUAGGCAAGAGGUGUGGAAGGACACGGGGAUCACCUCCAGCCGUCUUCAAGUUCAAGAAGACUUCUAACUGGAGAAACAAUUACAACUGCUCCUUCACAUCCUGAAACUGGAACGCAUAAAUAUAACGUUCUGGACAAAUGGGUUCACAAUGGAUGAUGGUCCUUUGCGGAGGAUGGAUGAUCCAGAAAAUGCGUCCUUCUUAGAGGUACAUAUCUCACUGGCGAUCAGUCAAGGUACAUAUCUUGUCCAUUCUAAUUUCAUAUGAAUCAGGCCUGCUAAUUGUUUUUUCUCCUGGUUUAGUUCAGACAUUUAUAGUGAAAUUUCUCUUUAUAUUCAACCUUUUGCUUUGUGGAAUUAAGAUUUUAUAAUAGAACCAAAAUUUAUGGAGCAGUAGAUAAAUUAUGAUUCUGUAACUGAACGAAAUUUUAUAGAAAUGUGGCUGUAUAGUACAAGGUGUUUUAAAACAAAGAUUCUGUAAUAGAACCAAAAUUUAUGGAGCUUACAAAAUUUUAUAAAAAUUGUGAUUCUAUAGUAAGAGGUGUUCUUGAAAUUAAGAUUCUGUAAGAACCAAAAUUUAUGGAGCAGUAGAUAAAUUAUGAUUCUGUAAGGGAACCAAAUUUUGUAGAAUUGUGAUUUUGUAAGGUGUUAAAUUCUAUGAUUCUAUAGUAGAAUAAACUUGAUUUCGUGCAUGCUUUUUGUGUUCUACAGUGGAAGAAUUAUUUCUUAUGUUGUUAAGUAUGUCCCUAAACCCCAUGAAUUUUUAAAUUAAAAAAAAAUAACUAUUUAAUUUAUGUAUUUUAUAUUUUAGUAUUUUGAUGUGGGAUAGCCACUGGAAUUCAUAGGUCUAAUACGAUCUUUUGGGUUUCAUUAUAUCCAAGUCUUGAUUUUUCAGAUUUUUAUAAGUUUAGUUAGUUUAGCCAGAUGCAAUUGAUCGAACAAGGCUUAGUAACAGAUUUGAUUUCCCUCUUGAUAUUGUAUGUUUAACGUCACUGUCCGAAAAUUCAGCUCGAACUAUUAUUAGUUAGAGUAUCUCACUAGCUCAUACUCUCUGAUAUGCAGUCACACAGCGAGUCACAACAGUAUUUUCAAAGCUACUGAUACUUUAACUUUGCAAGCAAGAUUCAGAGUGUGCUUUUUUCCCUGAUACUAGAAUAUUAUUAAUUGGCUGCCUCAUGUUGUUUGCUAAUUCUCAGAUUUUAUGAAUAUUAUAAGAAGCAAAACAUUGUAUCUAGGUCCACUUUUGUGGCCAAAUGUCAUGCUUUGGCUUCAGCUGCUUGUAAAGUUACUUGGCUUGUAUGCCGUCUACAAGAACUUGGUGUCGCAGUUCUGACCCUGGUUGUUACGUCGGUAAGUCGAGUCGAGUCGACUGGACUCUCCAGCAAGUCGAGUCGAGACUAGUCGUAGACUAGUCGACACUAGUCGACAAGGUAUGAAAUCAAUAAUAUAUAUUAUAUAUACAUAUAUUUAUAUGUGUGUUCUAAGUUCUAACUUCUAAAUUCUCACUUCUUAUCGAUGCAUAAACAGCCUCGUUCAAUGCAUUAGCCAUUCUGCAAAUUAAACAAAGCUACUGUAAUUGUGUGUGUGUGUGCGCUGGGCAACUAGUGACUACCAAGUACAGAGUGUGCAAGUGUGUGUAAUAACAGAGUGUGCAAGUGUGUGUAAUAACAGAGUGUCUGUAAGUGUAAGUAAUAACAGAGUGCGCAAGUAAUAACAUAUUACACAAAGCUACUGUAACUCUGUAAGUGUUUGUGUGUAUAACUGUAUAUAUAUAACUGUGUUUGUGUGUGUGUGUGUAUAACUGUGUGUGUGUGUAAGAGGAGAGGAUGAAGAGUUUACGUGGAAAGAAGAAGAGAUCAAAGGGAAUCGGAGUUGGAAUCGAUUCAAACAAAGUUAUAAGCGACUGAGACGGCUUGGAAUCGACUGGAGGCUGCUGGUCUUUUGUUUUUAGGUUUUAAUACAACUGGGUUUUUGUUUUUUUUGAAUUUAAACACCAGUUGACCGACUGGGUCUUCCAGUUGACCCGACUAGUCGACCCAGUCGACCAGUCUGUCAUAAGUCGCGCGAAAUACUUACAUCUGCCUAGUCGACCAGUCCAGUCGAGCCUGCACACCGACUGCGACUAGUCGCGACUAGUCGAGCGACUCAACAACAAUGGUUCUGACACUCAUUAUUCUUUAUUAUGAUAUCAGCCAACUAGCAAAAAAUCUCAUAUUUGAUGAGUACUAUACGAAAUACAUCGAAAUGAGUACUUGGUGUAAUAUUAGAAGUGCUUAUAUAUUAUGUGUAUCAAUUUUCAUUUCUUUCUUUCUUUUGCUAUUAUAUCAGAGGAGAAUGGAGGCUCAUUUUUGCAGCUUCUUCGGAUAAACUUGUCCAUAUAUUGACUUGAUUGAUCCAAUCCUCCUAUUUGGUAUUGACUUGCCAUGGAACUAAUAACAAAAUUAUUGUUCAACUCUUGCAGUUUGGUCGGCUGUCAAAAUCAGUUUAAAUGAUCAACAAAAUUAUCUUAACAACUGGAAUAAAGGAUGAGAUCCUCACUUUGUGUCUGAGUGCCCUGCUGCUCAUCGCUCUUCAUGGUCUGAAAUUCCUAGAAGUUCAGAUCUCUAUGGUCAGACUUCACCUGGAAAAGUUUCCUUUAGUGAGAAUUGAGGCGGCGUGGCAGACACAGUGGCUCUGCUUUCAGUUCCAACAAAUCUUGUGUCCAUGUGAAUCUGAACUCGUGCACAUCAAGAGCAAGUCCACGCUGAUCGAUCCACUAGAGCAAAAUGACAGUUUUAAAAGAAUCAUGAAGUCUGGUGGAUGUUUCAGAGGAAGAAAGUGAUGGUCAUGAUGACGAUCCUUACGUGGAGGAAGAUUUUCCAAAGGAGUUUAAAAUGAUCAAGUUUAGAGACUGGUUGCAGGUUGGGUCAUUCGGGUGUGGUGUUUUUUGUUGAGCUUAAUUGUAUGUUGCGCAGACGUGUACACUUAUUUUGUUUAUGGCUUAAGGCAUGCUGUCAGGAAUUUUAUUUGGUUGGCUUUGAUUUUGAUUUCCUAGAGAUUCGUGUUGGUUGAUCAUGGUAAGGUCUUAAGUUACAUGACUAAAGCUUGGGUUUAUUUCUUGGUGGGGACUUUGAUAUGUUUGUAAAGACACUGUUUGUUAAGGUUCUAGCUUCAUCAUUUCAUGUUAGCAGUUUCUUAGAUCGAAUUCAGGAUGCAUUGUUUGAUCAGUAUGUGAUUGAGACCCUCUCAGCGUCACCAUUAGUCGAGCAUCAUCUAGAGCCGGUAGAAGAGGAUCAGAUCAUGGCUGCGGUUCGUCACUUGCAGAAUGCUGGCGCUACUGUACAUCAGGAGUUUUAGCAUUGUAGCACCAUCAGGAGUGUGGUAGUGUAUUAGUUCCUGAUGAGCUCAUCAGGAGCACCAGGAGUUAAACAAGAGUAUAGCUCAAAAUUGUCUUUAUGUAAAGUUGUAAAGUUGAUUUAUGUGUAGUUAGGAUAUACAGCAGUGGUUUUGAGACGUCAAUAAUAAAAGUUUCUUGCUUCUUUCUGAAAA